rnacentral:rRNA from 1 species
GAUGAACGCUGGCGGCGUGCCUAAUACAUGCAAGUCGAGCGAACAGACGAGGAGCUUGCUCCUCUGACGUUAGCGGCGGACGGGUGAGUAACACGUGGAUAACCUACCUAUAAGACUGGGAUAACUUCGGGAAACCGGAGCUAAUACCGGAUAAUAUUUUGAACCGCAUGGUUCAAUAGUGAAAGACGGUCUUGCUGUCACUUAUAGAUGGAUCCGCGCUGCAUUAGCUAGUUGGUAAGGUAACGGCUUACCAAGGCGACGAUGCGUAGCCGACCUGAGAGGGUGAUCGGCCACACUGGAACUGAGACACGGUCCAGACUCCUACGGGAGGCAGCAGUAGGGAAUCUUCCGCAAUGGGCGAAAGCCUGACGGAGCAACGCCGCGUGAGUGAUGAAGGUCUUCGGAUCGUAAAACUCUGUUAUUAGGGAAGAACAAAUGUGUAAGUAACUAUGCACGUCUUGACGGUACCUAAUCAGAAAGCCACGGCUAACUACGUG